CAGUAAAUAAUUUAAAAAUAAAAUACUAAUCUUGGAAAUUAGAAAUAAUAAUAUUUUUACUGA
rnacentral:tRNA from 1 species